AAAAUUCUUGAAGCUCAGUUGACGCGCGUCGCAAACCCUAGAAUCCAAGCUUCGAGCUUCUCAAGAGUCGCAAUGGCGCCUCCGCGAACACCUCCUUUCCCUUCUCCCCUAAUUGAAGCGGAAAGACCAACUCAUCGGCCGCUUCAAGCACUAUGAAGCGGGAAUGAAUGCGCGAGCUUUGAAGAAGUUCGCUGAGGAGAAUCAGCAGAGACUGGCGACGGAGUGUGAGAAAUUGUUUUCUCGCUGCCAGUCGUUGGAGAAUGAUUGCGCCCUGUAGGAUAAAGACAGAGAAGCGUUGAUGGAGUUUGGGAACAACGCUGACGAACGGGCACGGGAGGCUCAAACCCAAGUUCUUGAAUUGGAACGGGAUUUGCUCUUUAUGGGGAAUGAAUUGAACAAAUAUAAGAAUCAACAUCAAUUGAGCCAUGGAAGCAACUAAUGUUCAUCCUUCCCGCAUUUCUGAAUUUGGAACGCUGGAUCAAUCUCUUGGAUUUCGCGUUGAAGAUACCAAUUGUUUAAAUUUAUCAUACAUACAAAAACAUGCUUAUUUUUACUCUAAAAUAUGGUGCUUCAUUGUCUUUUGGCAGUCUGAAAGGUGUGAAUCCAGUGGAUCAAAAGAUAAAUCAAAUCAAAAGACAUUAAGACGACUUGCUCAAAAUUGUGAGGCUGCCAGGAAAAGUCGACUGAGGAAAAAGGCAUAUCAGCAACAAUUAGAGAGCAGUAGGCUUAAACUGACCCAACUUGAGCAGGAGCUCCAGCGAGCACGCCAGUAGGUAUUGUAUGACUACGAAGACAAAAUCAACCAAGCUGUUUUCCCUGGACUGCAAGGUGGCCCUUACAAUCACACUAUUAUUGGUUUAACUGUUGCAUUGAAGCCGGUAUGUAGAAGAAUUAGUUGCUAGUGCAAAGGCUGCUGUGGAGGAAGUUAUCCGGCAUGGGGUAAGCUUUAUUUUUACUGUAUAUACAGAAUAUGAAGUCAAGGUGAUGAUCUAAGAUAUCUUAAGAUUUUCCAGUUGAGGUCAUAUUUUCAUCUUCCUUUAGUUAGUGUUAGAUGUUUAAUUUUUAGGCAUGUGUGAUCUAUCGAAACUUCUGCUUUCAAUCAAUUCUGAAAUGUUUCAGUAAUUUAUAAAAUUAGUAAUAGGUUUGUCAAAAUUGUUUCA